rnacentral:rRNA from 1 species
UACAGAGGUCCCAAGCGUUGUUCGGAUUCAUUGGGCGUAAAGGGCGCGUAGGCGGUGAUGUAAGUUGGACGUGAAAUCCCAGGGCUUAACCCUGGAACUGCAUUCAAUACUGCGUUGCUAGAGUACUGGAGAGGAGAUUGGAAUUCACGGUGUAGCAGUGAAAUGCGUAGAUAUCGGGAGGAAGACCAGUGGCGAAGGCGAAUCUCUGGACAGAUACUGACGCUGAGGCACGAAGGCCAGGGGAGCAAACGGG